GUUAACUUUAUGGCAAAUAAUUCCAAAAAUACGAAGAUUCAUCGAGCUUUUAUCCCUCAAGGACACGUUCUGGUUCACGAAAAAUGGCAUGGAAGUGAACUGGUGAAGGCAAUUCAAGAUCACUACACAAAAGUAAUGUUUGAUGAUACAAUGGGCCUGGCAGACUUCUUACCAUCAAGUGAAGUAGCCAUGGCAUAUCUAACAGAAAGUGACCUUAUCAGCAGUGUUGAUUAUAAGACAAAGAUAUUGAAACUGUCAAAGGUGUACCAAAGAGUUCUAGUUUUGGCAGAGAGAACUUCAAUGAGUGAGCAGUACUUCCCUGCCCUACAACAUUUUGUUGUCAUGGAAAGGUCAUUGGUUCUAAUUCCCUUAACAAGUACCACUGAAGCAGCAAAAUGCAUUACACAAAUGGUGAAACUUGAGAAUAAACCUCUAAAUAACCCGUACCGUAUCAAACGAAAGCCACCAUCAUUUGAUACAUCAUUGCUAGCCACAGUUCAAAAUAUCCCUGGUCUUGGAGAGAAGAAAGCAAUGGAUCUCUUAAAAGAGUUUAAAAGCAUUGAGGGAAUAAGCAAUGGGAACUUCGAGAAAAUGUCUUCAGUCAUUGGAAAAUCUUCUGCACAACAAGUGAAAACAUUCUUUCAACAGUCUUUUCACAAAGACAAAAAAGUUUCAUGAAGGUUAUAUCAGCAGGAUGGGGAGACUGUUAUACUGGAGGCUCAUACAUGGAUGGAUGCUCAAGACGACANAACACACAGAACUUGGCAUUGUCAGCUUCCUCUAGCUGGGUGAUGGAGAAUGGCUUGCUGCAGAUUUGACACUGUAAAUAAAUGUUAAUAUAAAUAUGAACAUGUAUUAUGAAAAAUUCAAUAGACAGAGAAAAAUAGAAAGCAACUAGUUUAGCUUACAAAAAUAUCAAAAGUAGAUUAUUUAACAUAUAGAUUCCAUAUUUUCAUGCAUCAGUGUUAUAAUAAAUACACUGAUGAUGUCAAAAUGUGAUGAAUACAAAAGAAAAAUGUUAUGAAAUGAAGUCAGAGUUCUUUUGAAAUGAAAACUAUAAUAAAACUAUUAGGAAAUAAUAUUGAAAUAAAUUCUUACAUUGACUAUCCUGAGACCAAUAUUUUUCCUGUGUUCCAGUACCACUGGUAUAUCUUCACUGGAUUCUAUGUUCCACAAUCUGACCGUGUGAUCCUAUACGAAUCAAAAACAAAAUGCUGUGUUUCUGUUUUCUAGGUUCUGUUAAAUGACUGGUUUUAUUGUUGAUCAAGUCAUCCAAAGUUCCCCUCUGCACAUUGUCCAUUAUCUAAUGAUAUCCAAACAGCAAAACCACAUACUUCCCAUUGGCAGAAUCUGGAUGGCAACAAGUGAUAAAGGAUGAAUG
rnacentral:misc_RNA from 1 species